rnacentral:rRNA from 1 species
AUUGAACGCUGGCGGCAUGCCUUACACAUGCAAGUCGAACGGCAGCGGACCUUCGGGUGCCGGCGAGUGGCGAACGGGUGAGUAAUGUAUCGGAACGUACCCUUCAGUGGGGGAUAACGUAGCGAAAGUUACGCUAAUACCGCAUACUCUGUGAGCAGGAAAGCAGGGGAUCGCAAGACCUUGCGCUGAUCGAGCGGCCGAGAUCAGAUUAGCUAGUUGGUGAGGUAAGGGCUCACCAAGGCGACGAUCUGUAGCGGGUCUGAGAGGAUGAUCCGCCACACUGGAACGGAGACACGGUCCAGACUCCUACGGGAGGCAGCAGUGGGGAAUUUUGGACAAUGGGGGCAACCCUGAUCCAGCCAUGCCGCGUGAGUGAAGAAGGCCUUCGGGUUGUAAAGCUCUUUCGUCCGGGAAGAAAUCGCAUCAGCUAAUACCUGGUGUGGAUGACGGUACCGGAAUAAGAAGCACCGGCUAACUACGUGCCAGCAGCCGCCGUAAAAC